rnacentral:rRNA from 1 species
ACUUUAAUUGAAGAGUUUGAUCAUGGCUCAGAUUGAACGCUGGCGGCAGGCCUAACACAUGCAAGUCGAGCGGUAACAUUUCAAAAGCUUGCUUUUGAAGAUGACGAGCGGCGGACGGGUGAGUAAUGCCUGGGAAUUUGCCCAUUUGUGGGGGAUAACAGUUGGAAACGACUGC